CUUCAUUUUCUUCACGUUUGAGUUGCUUUUUUCCUCUUCGACGGUACGCUCCAUCUCUCCCCUCGAUUGAAGUGCGAUCUGAAUCCUCCAUUGAAGUGCCUUCUUAGCUCUCUCUCCUCCUCCUAUGAAGCAGCUUUUGAGUUUCAGAAUUUGGAUUCUUCAGAACAUCAUCGCAUAGACAACGGGCCGGAGGAGGAGGGAUUGUUUUUGAGGUGCUCUGAAAAGCACUUUAAUGGUGCUUAUGAAUUCAGCAAACGAAAUUGUAUUCCCUAAUUCUUAUUAGGGGGCAUUUGGUUUGUGGGAUUCGGUUGAGUUGCUGCCAUGGUUGAGGUUUUCCCACUUCGAGAAUGUGCCGCCAAAUUGUUCGAUGAAAUGCAGAUCUGAGUCUCCCUAUAACCCACCCACCAAAUAAACCUUGAAGAUGUAUUAGGGGGCGUUUGGUUUGUGGGAUUCGGUUGAGUUGUCUCCAUGGUUGAGGUUUUCCCACUUCAAGAAUGUGCCGCCAAAUUGUUCGAUGAAAUGCAGAUCUGAGUCUCCCUAUAACCCACCCACCAAAUAAACCUUGAAGAUG